GUCCUCUAAUACAGCACUAUUAAAGGCCCAGUGCACCACUUUUGUGGAAAAAAAUAUUUUAUAACAUUUUUCUAUUCCGAUUUUUCAGGGGGUGGUGCAACAACCUCAGCACCCCUACUUCCCGCAGCCAUGAUCAUACGCACUUAAAUAGGACAUGGAGGACACUUUUCCGUGGCUCAUUUUCAUGUCAGCCAGAUCUCCAUCCAGGACAUCCUGAGGCCCUCCUCAGACCUUCCCUGUUGUUUCCGCCCACCACUGGGUGAAGUGGGUCCAUAGCAGGUGGGAUGCUGGGAGGGAGCUGAAAAGAGACUUCCUGAUUAAGAACGAGGGGCACAAACAUGGACAGAUGUUUUCCAAACCCUAUCUGGCCCAAACCUUCCAGCUACCAUCAACCCCUCCCAUCUACCAUUCAGAACAGAGGCGUGAUGAGUCUGGAGGAUCUGUGACCAUGACAACGAGGAGUUCAAACAAAUCCACACGGACUACAAGGUAUGUUCAAGGACACACAACACAACCAACGAAGGAGGAGUUUGAUGUGAUGGAUCACAGUGACACAACGCUCAUGUUACUAUCAGUCCCACUGUGGAGACUCUCUCUCUCUCCUCCCUCUGUUCUCUCUCCCACUCUCACUUUCCUGCUCGUCUCUCUCUUUCCUGCUCUUCUCUCUGUUUCUCCCUCUUUUUCCUUCCCUCUCUCUUUUUCCCUCUCUCUAUCAGGGGGUGAAGCUAUGGAAAAUCUCUCAUGGCAGGACUCAUGGCCCUCAAUAUACUGGAGAACUUUCCCAUCAAAGGAAUCAAAAAGAAAUGACCACACAAGGCCACCUGUUAGUCUCAGUGAGGAUCUUGGGUUGACCCAUCUCGGCGUUCCACAACAAACAGCCAACACUGGGUCUGCUCCAGAACCGUUGCAACAUGGUGUAUCCGGAGGCAGAGUAUGUGAGUGGAGUGGAGCAAGAAGUGGAGUGGAGCAAGAAGUGGAGCUGGAGCGGAGCAGGGACUGGAGCUGGAGCGGAGCAGGGAGUGGAGCUGGAGCGGAGCAGGGACUGGAGCUGGAGCGGAGCAGGGAGUGGAGCUGGAGCGGAGCAGGGACUGGAGCUGGAGCGGAGCAGGGACUGGAGCUGGAGCGGAGCGAGGAGUGGA
rnacentral:lncRNA from 1 species